UUCUUUAACUCUAUAUUCAUGUAGGAGGGCAAACAGGAGAAAUCCCGUCUUGCAGACUUCUCCAAAAUGCGCACUUCUAUCGCAAGAGGCCCGGGCCCUCCCACUCUCCCUCCUUCAUCCCCAAAUGCGUUUGAGCACCGAGGAGGAAGAGGGGUGCAAAAGAGGGGGGCCCCUAACAGUUGCCAACCCUCGCCUCUGAUCGCGCCCUUUCUCUCUACAGUUAAUUUCUGCGUGAGAUGCACGGCUCAGAACCUUCCUCGGUGUGCAUCUGGAGGUGGAGUACGGGGGAAGGAGAUAAACCCCGCUCUCACCCUGGGGGAAGAGGAAGAGGAGGGAAAGGAAGGAAGGGGGCGCAGGAUUACCCUCGGGCCCUCCUACGUUCGCACCCGGAGCGAGCAGGGCCCGCGCGUCCCGCGCUCUGACGACCCUCUCCAGAGCGCCGCCGGGCCAGCCGGGGCGCAGCCCACACACCCGCGGGGGCGCCUCGGGGGCGGCGAAACACGAGCCUCCGAGCCCGGAGAGAGGGGCCACUCACCGCAGCUCGCCGAGCCCAGCAGCAGCACCACCAGGGGCAACAUCUCAGCGGCCGCCGCGGGGUCGCCGCCGGCGCCGCCGCAGGUGUCUCGAGCAGCCGCCGCAGCUGUUACUGGCAGGAUCGGCCGCCUCCGCCGUCACGGGCAGGACCGGACGCCGCCGUCCGUCACAAGCAGGACCCGCCGCCCAGGCUGCCUGGCCGCGCGCACGCGCGCUCCUGCCACCCCACGCCCGCUCCCCCCGCUUCUCCCGCCGCGCGAGCCGCGCACGCGCACGCGCCCCCGCCCCGCCGCCGGGACUGUUGACGCGACGCCCUCCUGCCUUGCGGGCUCCAGUCUCCGCUCCAGUCCGCGCCGACGAGGCCUGGAUCCGAGUCCCACCCAGGGGCACGCGCCGGACGCGCCGGUCACGUCCCGUCAUCCCCCCCAGCCCCCAGCCCCCAGCCCCGCGGUCUGUGUGCCAGCCCGCCUCAGGAGGCUGAGGGCUGAGCGUGUGUGCGAACGCUCACCGGGGACUUCCUUGCACCCGCCCUGUCCGCGGAUCCCUCCCGCCCCUCACACGGUCCCGGGCCCCGUAGCCUCCGUGCGCCGGUGCUCUCCCGCUUCUCACUCCCACCCUCACGCGUCGGGAGCGCCACUCGGUGCUGCUCCCUCCGACCUGGGCGCCUCGGCCUGCGCGAGCCCCCGCGCUCUCUCCCCUCCCGGGUCCGACGUCCGCCCGCGCGUCGACCCUGCGGCUCCCGAGCCCCCACCUCUGGCCGCGCCCCCUAAACACCGUCCCUCGACCCCCGGCGCGGGGCGCGUGGGGCGUCGCUACGCCUCCCAGCGGUCGGGGAGCCGCGGGGGCUUCGCUGAGGGCCGGGCGGCGGCCGGGCCUGUCCGCAGCGAGCUCCCGCUCGGCCUGGGGGCGAGGGGGGGGGGUGCUGCCGUCCGCGGUUCAGCGAGCUCCUGCCGCCCCCUGGGAUGUUGUUUCCGCUGCGGUUGUGGGCUCCCGGCGCUCUUUCUCGCCUUGCGCGUUAGUAGUUUCCUUCCUCAAACAGCUCGGCCGGCCGUGGAGGGUGCCUGGUCUGGAGGUGCAAGGGGAAGAAAUGGUUACCUGAGAGGAAGGAGAACCUGGAGGAGGGCUGCCUGGCAGGACACCCCAGGUGGAGGAACAUAGUUACCACCAGCGUUGCGGACAGGAAUGGGGACAAAGUUUUGGUGGAUCCUGGUGAUGUGGUUAUGGAGUGUUGUUGGGGUCCAGAGCUGAUGGCGAAGACAAAAUUCUUAGGAUAUCUUUGGCAUGGAAAAGGAUUUUUUUUUUUUAAAGCAUGGGGACAAACCCCAUGGUCAGAAGCACUUGCUGCUCGUGGCAUGUGAGGAGUGGCUGAUUACGUACCUGAGAGUUGGGGGAAGAAGGAAGUAAAUGAAAUCAGGGAUUCCCUGGAGGAAUGACAGAUCAGUACGCAUUUCACUAGAUGACAACUUCAGAGACAGCUACGUAGCAGUAUGUGGAGCAGGGGAGAAACGAGUCCUACUCUACCGUCAUUCAAAAGAAAAUUAUUUGUUCAUUUUCGACAGCCAUAUGGGCUGGACCACCUGGAGCUGAUUCUGAGUCCCUCUAAAAGAUGUCAGAAACAGAUUCCUUUGGAAGGAUGAAUAACUGAUAUAACCAGAUAAAAGUCUGAAGGCUUUUCAUGGCAACCAAAGUUCUUGGUAAACUUAUGUAGAAAUUUAAAGAAUGG